rnacentral:lncRNA from 1 species
UGAGUGCAGGAGUAGUUGUAGGUUAUCAUAGACUGUAUAUCAGAAGCAUGGUAAUGACAGGGAACAUUCCAUACCUGUCUUUGAUUAGUUGGGAUAGUUUAACCUCAAUUAAGAAAAUAGAGCAUUCACCUGAUGAAUUGAAGGUGGACAGAUGGAGCUGACACAGCUGUCUAGGAUGCCAGGUGGAGGGAGGGAAUUUAGACCCAAGUGAGAGUAACAUCAUCUCGGUUGGCAAAUGUGCCAUCUGCUCCUCCAUCCCCAUGAUUUAAAGGAGGCAUCUUAACUCUUUCAGAGAUCAGCUUUCCAGAACAACCAUUGGAAUUCAAGAAAAUCAAAGGAGUAGGAAUGGAUUUAAAGGGGGCAGGCUAUUCCCUACUCACUGAGGAGGCCUUGAGAGCAAAUGAUCUGCUCUACUGAACACUCAGAAGAUGAAGUCUCUUUGGAAGAAGCCUGAUAAUGUUCCUUGCUCUCUUCACACCAGUCCACUUGGUAUUGCCUUGGAAUGGAAGAUGCAUCAAG